rnacentral:rRNA from 1 species
GGCACUUCAAACCCACCUAGAGGAGCCUGUUCUAGAACCGAUAACCCCCGUUCAACCUCACCUUUCCUUGCCCCCAGCCUAUAUACCGCCGUCGUCAGCCCACCCUAUGAAGGCCCAAUAGUGAGCGAAACUGCCUCCCCACCAAAACGUCAGGUCGAGGUGUAGCUAAUGGAAAGGAAGUAAUGGGCUACAAUUGUUAUUCAACUAAUACGAACUGUUUGCUGAAAUGUAAACAUGAAGGAGGAUUUAGGAGUAAGAAGAAAUUAGAGCGUUCUUCUGAAACGGCUCUGAAGUGUGCACACACCGCCCGUCACUCUCCCCGAAAAAUACUUAAACAUAACUAAUACAAUCACUAAUAGAGGGGAGACAAGUCGUAACAUGGUAGAUGUACCGGAAGGUGCACCUGGCAUACC